GAAAAGAACUUUGAAGAGAGAGUUCAAGAGUACGUGAAACCGUUCAGGGGUAAACCUGAGAAACCCAAAAGAUCGAAUGGGGAGAUUCAUCGACGACGAAGCUGGCUCCCGUUGGCGUGCGAUUCCCCCGUUGGGACCUCGGUUCCAGAACGCGGGGUACACCCCUUCGGCGAACAACCGGCGACGUAGUCGUGCACUUCUCCCUUAGUAGAACGUCGCGACCCGUUGUGUGUCGGUCUACGGCCUGGGCUAUUUGCCUGUCGCGGUGGCAUUCGUUCGCUCGCGGCAGAGGCUCGGUCGCCCGGCCGGCUGCACGACGGUACUCCGACGGUAUCGGGCCGCAACCAAUCCAUUCUCGAAUGGUAUAUGCGUCCAGGCCCGUCGCAAGCUCGGACAGCACCCGGAGCGUGUGGACGCAGCGCCCUCCCCGGGUCUGGCCAGCUGUUAGCAGACGGUGUCCUCGGACCGGCCAAGCUUCGAAUUACCGGUCAGCGACGCUAUUGCUUUGGGUACUCUCAGGACCCGUCUUGAAACACGGACCAAGGAGUCUAACAUGUGCGCGAGUCAUUGGGACAUUGAAACCUAAAGGCGAAAUGAAAGUGAAAGUCGUCGUAAGCGUCGACCAAGGGAGGAUGGGCCGCGUCACGUCGCGGCCUCGCACUCCCGGGGCGUCUCGUUCUCGUUGAGAAGAGGCGCACCCAGA
rnacentral:rRNA from 1 species